rnacentral:rRNA from 1 species
UACGGAGGGUCCAAGCGUUAUCCGGAUUCAUUGGGUUUAAAGGGUCCGUAGGCGGGAAAAUAAGUCAGUGGUGAAAUCCUGCAGCUCAACUGUAGAACUGCCAUUGAAACUGUUUUUCUUGAAUUUAGAUGAAGUGGGCGGAAUGUGUCAUGUAGCGGUGAAAUGCAUAGAUAUGACACAGAACACCGAUUGCGAAGGCA